rnacentral:rRNA from 1 species
GAUAGAACAAUGUAGGUAAGGGAAGUCGGCAAAUUAGAUCUGUACGUUCGCAAAAAGGAUUGGCUCUGAGGGUUGGGGUGGCCGGGCUUUGGCAGGAAGCGGGUGUGUCCACCGGCGGGCCUGGGCGGGUGCUUCUGCGCUAACUCGGUCCCGUUCAAGGAUCUCCGUGGAUUGCCUUUGCUUCGAAGACUUGGCCUCGCGCCCUGUCUUUUCGGUCACCAAUCAACAACCGACUCAGAACUGGCACGGACAAGGGGAAUCCGACUGUCUAAUUAAAACAAAGCAUUGCGAUGGUCAGAGAGUGAUGUUGACGCAAUGUGAUUUCUGCCCAGUGCUCUGAAUAUCAAAGUGAAGAAAUUCAACCAAG